rnacentral:rRNA from 1 species
UACGUAGGGUGCGAGCGUUGUCCGGAAUUACUGGGCGUAAAGAGCUCGUAGGUGGUUUGUCGCGUUGUUCGUGAAAACUCACGGCUUAACUGUGAGCGUGCGGGCGAUACGGGCAGACUGGAGUACUGCAGGGGAGACUGGAAUUCCUGGUGUAGCGGUGGAAAUGCGCAGAUAUCAGGAGGAACACCGGUGGCGAAGGC